rnacentral:lncRNA from 1 species
CGUAUGUGGUUAAAAUAUCAACGAGUUUUUUUUUUCUAUUUUUUCGAAAAAUGACUUGGCCUACCAAUCAAUCAAGUUUGACAUUUGUUCUAUUAUUUAAUUUUUUUUUUUUUAGGAUUUUGUUCCAACCAGCUCUGCAUAUUAACUUCGAAACAAUUUGUUUCUUCGCGCUAAUUUUAACAAAUUUAGAUACUUCCCUGACGUAUCUUACUUCUUAUUCUAAUAAUCUCUAUUUCACAAACACUUUUUUAUAUAUAAUUGCAGAAUCACUUCGGAUCAAUAAUAAAAUUUCUCCGUAUUAAACUAGUAUGCAUCCAUCGUCUUCAAUCAACCACAAAAAAAGAACACAUUAAAUUAGUUGUAAGAAUAUUCUAC